rnacentral:lncRNA from 1 species
UGCUCUUGUUUUGAUCCGAGACCCCGUAACCGAGCGCACAGGCAAAGUGGGCAUUUGGGGCGAGGGCUUCUCCAGGGGAAGACCUAAAUAAUUAGCCGGUGCUAGAUUCCUUUCUGACGAGCCACGUGAAGCCUCUAGCGCCUUCUCCGGUGCUCUCCGGCCGGCCUCUUGCGUCACAGCUUCCUAAGGAAGGCCAUGCAUACUUUAUAUUUGAGAGUUCAAUGUCAGAAUGUGGGAGAAGAGUGGUGCACAGUGCCUGAUGAGCAAGGCUGGAGCAGCACCGGAGAGCGUGCAAAUAAUUUCCCCCCAAAUCUGGACUCCAGGACACUCCUCCUGCACACAGAUGAACGCCCCCAUGAGCAAAUUGCCUCUCCAGCCUGUCCAGAGUCACCUAGACUGCUGGCAAAUGGUUUUUUCAGAGCAAGGUGGUGUGCUCUCUUCAUGUGAGAAGUCGUGUCAUCCAGGGAGCGCUGGGGUUGGCUCAUUAAAAUAUCACCUGGUUAAAGUAAAUCAAUGUUGAUAGAAUUGUUGAAGGUAUUCCCCCUCGUGGAGCUGGUUUGUCCUGCCGAUCAACUGGUUACUCCCAUCGCGGGCUGAAUGGAAACCCCUCCUUUCUGCUCGGCAUCCCAUACCUGCAUUAAUGAGCAAGGCUCCCGCAAUGUAAUCAGAAGCCUGGGUUGAGGGGUGGUGACUAAUACGUUUCAUUUCCUUUUAUCAACAGCAGUAGUGCAAAAGAAUUAGAGAGGGCAGUAUUUGCUUUUUGGGACUUCCAAAAAUGAAAGGGUGUGAGCAUGGAGCAAAUGAAUAUGGAAUAGUUGAUUCGUACCCGUAAACUGUACAGACGCAUCAAUGAAACAGUAAGAUGCAUUCUGAAAUGUUAAGAAAAAUUGCCGAAACUUGUAAAAAGCUUUUUGUUGUUGCUUUUGUGUGUUUCGAAGCAUCAGAGAAAAGGGUUUGGGGCUUUUAACAAAUGUGGCAAAUCUGCCAAGCUUUGGGUCAGGAAGACUCAAGGCAUCUGGAGACUUGAUCAAGGCCAGAAGAUGCACAGUUGAUCAAAUAAAG